UGGCUCAGGACGAACGCUGGCGGCGUGCCUAAUACAUGCAAGUCGAGCGCAGGAAGCUGACGGAACUCUUCGGAGGGAAGGCAGUGGAAUGAGCGGCGGACGGGUGAGUAACACGUAAGGAACCUGCCUCAAGGAUUGGGAUAACUCCGAGAAAUCGGAGCUAAUACCGGAUAGUUCAUCGGACCGCAUGGUCCGCUGAUGAAAGGCGCUUCGGCGUCACCUUGAGAUGGCCUUGCGGUGCAUUAGCUAGUUGGUGGGGUAACGGCCCACCAAGGCGACGAUGCAUAGCCGACCUGAGAGGGUGAUCGGCCACACUGGGACUGAGACACGGCCCAGACUCCUACGGGAGGCAGCAGUAGGGAAUCUUCCACAAUGGACGAAAGUCUGAUGGAGCAACGCCGCGUGAGUGAUGAAGGUUUUCGGAUCGUAAAACUCUGUUGUAAGGGAAGAACACGUACGAGAGGAAAUGCUCGUACCUUGACGGUACCUUACGAGAAAGCCACGGCUAACUACGUGCCAGCAGCCGCGGUAAUACGUAGGUGGCAAGCGUUGUCCGGAAUUAUUGGGCGUAAAGCGCGCGCAGGCGGCCUUUUAAGUCUGAUGUGAAAGCCCCCGGCUCAACCGGGGAGGGCCAUUGGAAACUGGAAGGCUUGAGUACAGAAGAGAAGAGUGGAAUUCCACGUGUAGCGGUGAAAUGCGUAGAGAUGUGGAGGAACACCAGUGGCGAAGGCGACUCUUUGGUCUGUAACUGACGCUGA
rnacentral:rRNA from 1 species